rnacentral:rRNA from 1 species
UGGGGAAUUUUGGACAAUGGGCGAAAGCCUGAUCCAGCAAUGCCGCGUGUGUGAAGAAGGCCUUCGGGUUGUAAAGCACUUUUGUCCGGAAAGAAAGUGGCUCUGGUUAAUACCUGGGGUCGAUGACGGCUACCGGAAGAAUAAGGACCGGCUAACUACGUGCCAGCAGCCGCGGUAAUACGUAGGGUCCAAGCGUUAAUCGGAAUUACUGGGCGUAAAGCGUGCGCAGGCGGUUGUGCAAGACCGAUGUGAAAUCCCCGAGCUUAACUUGGGCAAUUGCAUUGGUGACUGCACGGCUAGAGUGUGUCAGAGGGGGGUAGAAUUCCACGUGUAGCAGUGAAAUGCGUAGAGAUGUGGAGGAAUACCGAUGGCGAAGGCAGCCCCCUGGGAUAACACUGACGCUCAUGCACGAAAGCGUGGGGAGCAAACAGGAUUAGAUACCCUGGUAGUCCAUGCCCU